CUCUGUGGUUCCGCGUGGAUGCACUUCCGCAUGGAGUAUGCGUGCGGGCCGCCCGCCGCAUUACUGUGAACAAAACAGCGUGCCCAAAGCGGGCUUUGAUGCCUGAAUGAAGAAGCAUGGAAUGACAAGGGAUCGACCGCUGAGACGCUCCUUUUGAUGGUUUUGAUCGUCCGUGUGGACAGAUCGGAGCGCAUUCCGUCGUUGUAGUUAUGGGCUUCGGCCUUUGACUGCGCUCGGAUGCGUCCCUGCUGGGUUCAAGCGGGGCUGUCGGACUGAGACGUAUGGUUGCGCGAGGGGUGAAAUCCUAUGACCGCAGCCAGGCGAACAUCCGCGAAGGAUCUCAGGAGUAUGCCUUUAUGGACCGAGAACCAAAGCGCGGAGAUCGAAGAUGAUCAGAUACCAUCGUAGUCCACGCUGUAAACGAUGGCACCCAUGGAUUGGGUUGUGCCGCUUGAGAACUCCCCAGGACUGUUUGCCGCUUGUGCGAAAGCAGAGGCUAUGGCCUCAUGGGGGAGUACGGCCGCAAGCUGAAACUUAAAGAGAUUGACGGAAAGGCACCACCAGCCGUGGAGGGUGCGGCUUAAUUUGACUCAACACGGAAACCUUGUUACGACUUAAGGGCGAAUUCCACAGUGGAUAUCAA
rnacentral:rRNA from 1 species